UACGGAGGGGACUAGCGUUGUUCGGAAUUACUGGGCGUAAAGCGCACGUAGGCGGAUUUGUAAGUCAGGGGUGAAAUCCCGGGGCUCAACCUCGGAACUGCCUUUGAUACUGCAAAUCUCGAGUCCGGAAGAGGUGAGUGGAAUUCCUAGUGUAGAGGUGAAAUUCGUAGAUAUUAGGAAGAACACCAGUGGCGAAGGCGGCUCACUGGACCGGUACUGACGCUGAUGCGCGAAAGCGUGGGGAGCAAACGGGG
rnacentral:rRNA from 1 species